rnacentral:sRNA from 1 species
UCUUUUUUCCUCUAUAAACCUUUUUCUUUUUCUAGUUUUGGUAUGUGUGGAACUUUACCUUUUUGUGUAUAUUUAAGGAUUGAUUAGUUCUUCUGCUAUCAUCUGCAAAUGAUAUGGUUGCGGGCAAUCGCAAUUGUUAACGUUUAAAAUAAUCGUAAAAAACAUUUUAAACCCUUCGGGACCACUCUAAAACUUUUGAAAUCGUGUUUGCAGUUGCAGGUGGUAGCGGUUGAAAUAAAAUAAAAUUAUCCAAACCGUUUAUUCAUUAAUAUAAAAUACACAAACAACCUAUAUUUUAAAAAAACAGUAUCAAACCCUAUAUAAUAUUAACAUUAAUUCUCAAAAUCCUAAUAUUUUUCUCUAUCAAAAUCAUAUAGUCAACUCAUAAGAAUG